UCGAACGGGGCCCUCGUGCCCCUCGACUCACAAACCAGGUGGAAUUGACCCGUGCUUCGGCGCUCCGGCGCCGCCUCGACGCGUAAAUCCGUCGUAUGUCUGAAUCACAUAAGAAUCA
rnacentral:misc_RNA from 1 species